UACGGGGGGGGUAAGCGUUGUUCGGAAUUACUGGGCGUAAAGAGCUCGUAGGCGGCUUGUCGCGUCGGCUGUGAAAACCCGCGGCUCAACUGUGGGCGGGCAGCUGAUACGGGCAGGCUGGAGUUCGGUAGGGGAGACUGGAAUUCCUGGUGUAGCGGUGAAAUGCGCAGAUAUCAGGAGGAACACCGGUGGCGAAGGCGGCAUCCUGGACCGGUAUUGACGCUGAGGCGCGAAAGCCAGGGGAGCAAACGGG
rnacentral:rRNA from 1 species